CCUACGGGACGCACCAGGGGGGAAUAUUGCACAAUGGGCGCAAGCCUGAUGCAGCCAUGCCGCGUGUAUGAAGAAGGCCUUCGGGUUGUAAAGUACUUUCAGCGAGGAGGAAGGCGAUAAGGUUAAUAACCUUGUCGAUUGACGUUACCCGCAGAAGAAGCACCGGCUAACUCCGUGCCAGCAGCCGCGGUAAUACGGAGGGUGCAAGCGUUAAUCGGAAUUACUGGGCGUAAAGCGCAUGCAGACGGUCUGUCAAGUCGGAUGUGGAAUCCCCGGGCUCAACCUGGGAACUGCAUUCGAAACUGGCAGGCUGGAGUCUUGUAGAGGGGGUUAGAAUUCCAGGUGUAGCGGUGAAAUGCGUAGAGAUCUGGAGGAAUACGGGUGGCGAAGGCGGCCCCCUGGACAAAGACUGACGCUCAGGUGCGAAAGCGUGGGGAGCAAACAGGAUUAGAUACCCGUGUAGUC
rnacentral:rRNA from 1 species